GCUUUUGGAUGGGCCCGCGGCGCAUUAGCUAGUUGGUGGGGUAAAGGCUUACCAAGGCAAUGAUGCGUAGCCGAACUGAGAGGUUGAUCGGCCACAUUGGGACUGAGACACGGCCCAAACUCCUACGGGAGGCAGCAGUAGGGAAUCUUCCACAAUGGGCGAAAGCCUGAUGGAGCAACGCCGCGUGGGUGAAGAAGGUCUUCGGAUCGUAAAACCCUGUUGUUAGAGAAGAAAGUGCGUGAGAGUAACUGUUCACGUUUCGACGGUAUCUAACCAGAAAGCCACGGCUAACUACGUGCCAGCAGCCGCGGUAAUACGUAGGUGGCAAGCGUUAUCCGGAUUUAUUGGGCGUAAAGGGAACGCAGGCGGUCUUUUAAGUCUGAUGUGAAAGCCUUCGGCUUAACCGGAGUAGUGCAUUGGAAACUGGGAGACUUGAGUGCAGAAGAGGAGAGUGGAACUCCAUGUGUAGCGGUGAAAUGCGUAGAUAUAUGGAAGAACACCAGUGGCGAAAGCGGCUCUCUGGUCUGUAACUGACGCUGAGGUUCGAAAGCGUGGGUAGCAAACAGGAUUAGAUACCCUGGUAGUCCACGCCGUAAACGAUGAAUGCUAAGUGUUGGAGGGUUUCCGCCCUUCAGUGCU
rnacentral:rRNA from 1 species